CCCUUAGAUGUCCUGGGCAGCACGCGCGCUACAAUGGUCUUCGCAAACGGAUGCAUUCUCGAAGGAGAAUGCCAAUCUUGGAAUCUAUGCCUUGGUCGGGACAGUUGCUUGCAAUUUUUCGACUCGAACCAGGAAUUCCUUGUAAUCGUGAUUCAUCACAUCACGAUGAAUACGUCCCUGCCCUUUGUACACACCGCCCGUCGCUCCUACCGAUCGAGGAGUUAGGUGAAUUGUUUUGAUCGAUAAGAUUUGACUAUGGUCAACUCUCGUUGUGAAAUUCUGUGAAUCUGACUGUUUAGAGGAAGGAAAAGUCGUAACA
rnacentral:rRNA from 1 species